CACGUAGGGAGCAAGCGUUGUCCGGAUUUAUUGGGCGUAAAGAGCUCGUAGGUGGUUCGGUAAGUCAGGUGUGAAACCUCCAGGCUCAACCUGGAGACGCCACUUGAUACUGCUGUGACUGGAGUCCGGUAGGGGAGCGUGGAAUUCCUGGUGUAGCGGUGAAAUGCGCAGAUAUCAGGAGGAACACCGAUGGCGAAGGCAGCUCGCUGGGACGGUACUGACGCUGAGGCGCGAAAGCGUGGGGAGCAAACAGG
rnacentral:rRNA from 1 species